UGAUCUUCCUAUUGUCUACGUCGAUGACCAGCCCAGAAUCAAACCCAGAUCUUCUUCAACCUCUUCUCAUCGUCUUCUAUUUCUUUUCUCCUCCUUCUCGGCUCAUAACCUUCGACCACAUCACCAUUAAACACUAUAAUUAUUUUUCCUUCACCUGUACUCAGAAAUUUCUCCGAUUUGGUAUUAUUUGAACUCAAAUCUCCUUCAUCCUGAGUUGAGUCUGAGUUUACUCGCCGUCCGAGCUAUUGCAAAGAGGACUCAGAUCUGAUUUUGUAUCCCACGAUAUAGCGAUUAUGAAGCCAGAGAGAGAGACGAAGAGAGGAGUCUGGGUUCGAUAAAAUUGGCGGAGGGAGAAAGAAAGAGUCUUGGUUCUUACUCUUAUCUUAGUUAACAUCUUAUUGUUGACAUAUUUAUUUUAUGUCAACUAGAACAUGAUCUGACUUGUUACAACAUAUAUAAGUGUUAUCCAUUGGAUUGAAUUCUGCAAUAUUUAGGUUUGCAAAGAUAAAUUUCUUAGGAAGUUUGAAUUUGUUCUCACGGAUUAGGAUUUAGGACAAGUUUUUGGUUUCUAAACAACAUUGUGUAUUGUUCUUUCUUGUUGUGGUGUGUAAGGAGCAAAGGAUAGUGAAAGCAGAAGAGUGGGAUUCGUUAAUGGAGAUCCUUCUUAAGCCAUUGUCUGCUGCUUUCAGAGUUAUUUCCAAUUGCUUAUUGGUUAAUUUGCGAUGAUCUUCGACUCAAGUUGGAGAAUGAUUUCAUGAAAUCUCUUCAGGAUGAGGCUAUAGAGAGUGGUGAACUGGAGGCUAUCAAGCCUUUGCCUUGGUACCCUAAUAAUCUUGCUU